ACAAUAGUGCUACAAGAUGGUCCCGCGUCCCAUUAGCUAGUUGGUGAGAUAACAGCCCACCAAGGCGACGAUGGGUAGCCGAUCUGAGAGGGUGAACGGCCACAUUGGGACUGAGACACGGCCCAAACUCCUACGGGAGGCAGCAGUGGGGAAUAUUGCGCAAUGGGGGGAACCCUGACGCAGCAACGCCGCGUGAGCGAAGAAGGCCUUCGGGUCGUAAAGCUCUGUCUUAAG
rnacentral:rRNA from 1 species